UACGUAGGGGGCAAGCGUUGUCCGGAUUUAUUGGGCGUAAAGAGCGUGUAGGCGGCCUGAAAGGUCAGCUGUGAAAACUCGAGGCUCAACCUCGAGACGUCGGUUGAAACCACCUGGCUAGAGUCCGGAAGAGGAGAGUGGAAUUCCCGGUGUAGCGGUGAAAUGCGCAGAUAUCGGGAAGAACACCCGUGGCGAAGGCGGCUCUCUGGGACGGUACUGACGCUGAGACGCGAAAGCGUGGGGAGCGAACAGG
rnacentral:rRNA from 1 species